AUGCCCCAGGUUAAGCCCGCCCCUGCACCCGAGCCACUCCUGGGUUUAGAUGGAGAUGACGAGACCUUGUCUGAGAGGGGCUCGGUUGGAUCUGGGUCGGGCCCAAGCACGCCGGAUGCUCGUGGUGGCAAGGAGGCCUCUUCAAGCACUCCCUCUGCUACAGGGAGUAAGAGGAAGCGUGAGAGCUUGAGUUGUGACAGAGUGGAAGCUGAUGGUCCAGAGCCAACAAGAUCCGGUUCGAGUGACACCACAUGGAGCAUGGACAGUUUGCACGACGGCUGCCCACGCUCCUUGUCGAGGAAAAAGAAUGGCCGCUCCGAGCAUUCGGUUACUUCCGCCGCAUUGAUCAGCCGGCCUCGCGGCGUCCUGAAGCUAAGGAAGCUUCCCCAGAAUGUCAGUGCCGAGACUGGGGCUGGUGGUUGUAAUGUGCUUCAACCCAAUGGUAUUUCUAAGCCUUCCCAUUUCAUGAGGAGGAAAAGGAUAAGGAAACCAAGGGCGCUCAAGGAGAACAGAGUUGGUGGCGGUGAUCCUGUCAUUUGCUUAAAAACUGAGAAUGGCACUCAUGAUCAGGACAUCACAACAAAGUCUUGUUCGGAAAAUGAUCUCUCAGUUCCAAAGCUACCAGGUGAACCAUCUAAACCUGUUCAUGUUGAUAAGGAUAGUGCUGGGCAUGCGCUAGGGCACAUUGAUGUUAGCUUGGAAGAAAAUGCUGCUAUGAUGCUCUGUUCUCUGUCAGAUAAUAGACAUGAUGACCCAUUGAGGAACAGAAUGUCAUCACCAGAUAGAUCAUCAAAGGAAUCUAAUCUUCACCGCUCUAAUUGCUUGAACAAUCCAUACAAGAAUGAAGAUGAUGUAGCAGGUCCUUCUAGGUUGCUACGGAAGCGUGACGGUAAAGGUCCAUUCAGGAAGCGUCGCCCACGUCGUCAUUUUUAUGAAGUCAGCCCUCAUGAUCUGGAUCCAUUUUCCAUUGUAAAAGAGAGGAUCAGGGUGUUUUGGCCUCUUGAUGAGACUUGGUACUUUGGCCUGGUCAAGAAAUAUGACCCUGUGACAAAGAGGCAUCAUGUCAAAUAUGAUGAUAAGGAUGAAGAAUGGAUCAAUCUUCAAAAUGAGAGAAUCAAGCUCCUCCUUUUGCCAGGUGAAGGUCGCAGGAGAUGUAUUAAUAAUACUUCAAGGAAAGCACGUAAGGUGAACUAUGAGGGGGAGAAGAGAGUACACAUGGAUCAAAACGGUUCAGGAAGCGAGUCAGAGCCCAUCAUCUCAUGGUUGGCUCAAUCAAACCAAGCAAGAUCUGGUACCUCCAGUAGCAUCAGCAAAACAGUUCUUGGUCACCCAAAUUUUCCUGUGUUAUCAAACUCAUUCGAUGCCAACCCGGGAUUCUUUGGCUCUGAUGGUGCUAUACCAGGAGGUUUACAUGCAAAUGGUGGCCCGGAAGUUCAUAACGAUGGGACUGUACCUCGGGAAAGGAGAUUCCGCUUUGUUUAUUAUAGGAGGCGAUUUCGCAGGAGAAGGAAUGGUUUUGUCAACAUUUCAGAACAUGAUUCACAUUUGAAAAGCAGAUCAAGUUCUGCGGUGGUUCUUGCUUCAGCCAAUGGCAGGGAGGCUGAUACUGAAACUGGUGCUCCAGUGAAAUAUGUCAUAUUGGUGUUAAGCUGUCCACUUAAAUCUGUUUACAAGUUAAUUUCUGAAGCCUGCAGUGCUUGGCUUCCCAGUACUUUCUUUCACCCUCAGCAUGGUUCAUUGAUUACCUUAUGGCCUACAGUAUGUCUGGACAUACUUCUUGUUAAUGGUACUUUAGGUUUGAAACACUUGCUUCUUGAGACUUGCUUACGAUCAGCAGUAUUUCUUUUCUGUUCACUCGUCGGAAGCUUCAAUCAGGAUUCUGGGCUGAAUGCUUUUAAUGAAUCAGAAGUGCCAUGCACCUCGGUCAGAUUCCAGAUAUCUGGUUUGCAUGGUAGGAGCCAAGCAGUGUUUGUGCUGUUCAGCCUCAUUGGAAUUGGCAAGACACAAUGGAAGAACCUGCAAGCAAAGUUCAGAUAUCACUCUUUGAAAAGGGAGCUGUCUAAAGUUGACUGCACAUACACCGAUAUCAAACAACUCAUCAGUGGAAAUGACCAGAAUGUCCGGACUUCAAUGAAUCUCUUUUCGAAGAGUUUAUCUUCCGAUGCUCAGGAACCUCAGUUCUGCUCAGAAUCUAAUUAUCCUGAUGCUGAUCCUGUCAUAUUUUGUCUUGAUAAUCAAAGUGAAUGCACUCGAAAUCAUGUGGACGUGGCAGCUGCACGUCAUCACCUAAAGCUGCUCACUGAAACCAACUUGACUUCCAAUGCUGUAGUUCACCAGGCUGCUCAUUCUGAAAUUUCUGUAGAAGAUAAUCAGCAGUCUAUUUCACAACAUAGAUCUGCUUUGGUUAAGCAGGUUUGUUCCUUGGAGACGGGUACCGUAAGUCUGGAUUGUGACAACAGUGAUGGUGAUAUCAAUGUGAUAAGCAGAAGGUUGCCAGAUCAAAAUGGGACUUGCAUAGCUGGUGACAAACUUUGUUCUUCCAAUCAUAAUGCUACAAACUCUCCAGAGAAAUCUAAACAAAGUUACCCUUCCAUGGAUAUUCCUCAAGAUAAGAUAUCUGAUGCUCUGGAUGAUGAGUUACUUAGCAAAGAUGGCAAAGCCACAGAGCCUGUAUCUAACUUGGUUCAGGAAUUGAAUGAACAUCCAAUUGGUCGUGUCACACCAACUGCCCCAAGGACGUCCUACCAUCGGAACAGGUUUACAUCCAUAUCACGCACAUUUGGAGAUGGUUCAAAAUUAUGGCCAGAAGAUAACAUGUCAACUGGCAGUGCUAGUGGUUCUAAGAAAACACGAACCCAUGUUUCAUACUCAGUUUCUCCUAGAAGUGAUGAACUAGGAUCAAAACACAAAGGACAUUUCCGCAAGAUACAACCUCACAACAUCGCCAAGACUAAUGGUUCAAAGAGGCUUCCUGAUAAUACUAGAAGUGGGGAGAGCAGCCCGGAGUCAUUGGCUUGUGUUGCAAAUGUCCUGGUAACAGUUGGUGAUAGAGGAUGGAGGGAAUAUGAUACUCAGAUCACAAUUCACACCGAUGGGCAGAGUGAUCGAAGUAUCUGUGUGAGGCUUGCUGAAGGAAAGAAGUAUGUUCACAAAGUUUCUCAAGUUUUGCAGCCUGGUGCUACUAACCGCUAUACGCAUGCUAUUUUGUGGAAAGGGGGCCCUGAAUGGUACCUAGAAUUUCCUGACAGAAGCCAGUGGUCGAUUUUCAAACAAAUGCAUGAUGAAUGCUAUAGUCAUAACAUCAGAGCUGCAUCUGUUAAAAACAUUCCAAUCCCUGGUGUCCGCUUGGUUGAAGGUCAUGACAAUAAUGAUGUUGUAUCGUUUGUGCGCCCCCAAGAUUAUCUUUGCCAUAUCGGGCCAGAUGUUGAAAUGGCUCUUGACGAAUCCCGUGUGAUAUAUGACAUGGAUAGUGAUGAUGAAGAGUGGAUUUCAGGAUGGAGGAAGUCUCAGCGAGAUAAGAACAACACUAUAUCUGAGUUAACAGAGGAUUUGUUUGAGAAGAUCAUGGACAAAUUUGAGAAAUUUGCACAUACCCAUAACUGCAGUGCGCUCACCAUUGAUCAGAUUAAGGAACUAGAUGUUGAUAAUGCACCGCUGGACAUCACUGAAGUGAUACAUGAUCAUUGGCAUGACAAGAGGCAGAAGAAGGGAAUGCCGCUUGUUCGACAUUUUCAGCCUGUUAUGUGGAAGAUUUAUGCUCAGCAGCUACAGGAAUGGGAAUCGGCAGUAAACAGAAUGCAGGGUUCAUCAAAUGGGUACCAAGGAAAGAGGCCGCCCUCCAAACCUGCACUCUUUGCCUUCUGUUUGAAACCUCGUGGACUCCGGCUUCAGGUAUCCAAGGGGCCGAAGCAGAGAUCACAUAAGAAGCUUAUGUACUCUGGAUGCCACAGCUUUUCGAGAGAGCAGGAUGGCUUUUACCGACAAGCUUCAGGCCGGAGAAACGGCGAAUAUGUUGGGGAUGGGAGGACAUAUGAAUCCUAUGACGGUGGUUCUCUUAAUUCACCAACAGGGUACUCCCCCAGGUUCUCUAUGAGAACAGAUUCCCCUCGCACGUCUGAUGCUUCGGACAGAGGUUCUACUCCAAGAUUCAGGACUAACAGUAUGAAAAGGAAUGCAAGCUUUGCAUUCUCUGAGGAUCACCAACCGUCCCCGUCCUUCCGCAGCCAGAAAAUAAGGCGAGGAGGCGUGCCUGAUCACUGGAACACUGCAAUCCAUGAGUACCAGAACUCGAAGCAGGCGCCCCAGAGCCACCGUGUGGACGUCGAGGAGCUCAAGCUGCGUGACGCCACGAGCGCCGCGCAGCACGCCGCGACGAUGGCCAGGCUCAAGAGGGAGAAGGCCCAUUGCCUGAUGCACAAGGCGGACCUCGCCCUCCACAAGGCCUCGGUGGCCGUCAUGAUCGCGGACGCGAUCAAGGCGUCCAGCAGGGACUCGUCGCGGGCGGCUGACAGCAGGAGGGACGACGGGCGGUGA
rnacentral:rRNA from 1 species